UUUUAUUCAUCAAAUUGCUCAUCCCAUGAAAGCUUCAGGAGGAGAUGUAACUAAUUUCAUGGGAGAACUACAUGGAGAUGGCCUCAGAGCAAUUCGCAGGACUGUUCUGAAUUGUCAAGAUCUGCCUUGGAUCCAGAAGACCCGGAAGCUUUACCAAACUUAUACAUGAAAUUUCCCCACAGACCCCAGCUCAGCCCCACCGACUUGGUAGUGACUCAUUUUUUUUUUUUUUCAGAUGACCAAUGAAAGGAUUGAUCUGCCUCUCCGAAGCCCUCAGAAAGAAUACCAAAAUUGUGGCUAGGUCUGAGAAAGUUUUUAUACAAUGUCCUGGGAUUGGUAAAUCCAUUGUAGCACUGGCUCAUCCGUCAAGGCUGACAUAUGGCAGGAGUGAAGAUGAUGACGAUGACGAUGAUGAUGAUAAGGGUAGUAAUGGGUUUCCCGUUAUCAAGCACCCACUGCAUGCCAAAAUAGAAAACAAAUUCUAAAAUUCUUAUGGAACCACAAGUUACCCAGAAACCAAAGCACUAUUGAACAAGAAGAACAAAGCUGGAAGCAUCACCCCUUCCUAAUUUGAAAAUAUGUUUCAAAGCUACAGGCAUUAAAACAAUACAGUACUGGCAUAAAGACAGACAUGUAGACCAAUGGAACAAACAGAAAGCCCAGGAAUAAACUUGUGAUUAUAUAGUCGAUUGAUACUUGACAAGG